GAGCGAACGGACGAGAAGCUUGCUUCUCUGAUGUUAGCGGCGGACGGGUGAGUAACACGUGGAUAACCUACCUAUAAGACUGGGAUAACUUCGGGAAACCGGAGCUAAUACCGGAUAAUAUUUUGAACCGCAUGGUUCAAAAGUGAAAGACGGUCUUGCUGUCACUUAUAGAUGGAUCCGCGCUGCAUUAGCUAGUUGGUAAGGUAACGGCUUACCAAGGCAACGAUGCAUAGCCGACCUGAGAGGGUGAUCGGCCACACUGGAACUGAGACACGGUCCAGACUCCUACGGGAGGCAGCAGUAGGGAAUCUUCCGCAAUGGGCGAAAGCCUGACGGAGCAACGCCGCGUGAGUGAUGAAGGUCUUCGGAUCGUAAAACUCUGUUAUUAGGGAAGAACAUAUGUGUAAGUAACUGUGCACAUCUUGACGGUACCUAAUCAGAAAGCCCCGGGUAACUACGUGC
rnacentral:rRNA from 1 species